UAGGGAAUCUUCCGCAAUGGACGAAAGUCUGACGGAGCAACGCCGCGUGAGSUAUGAAGGUUUUCGGAUCGUAAAGCUCUGUUGCCAGGGAAGAACGUCCGGUAGAGUAACUGCUACCGGAGUGACGGUACCUGAGAAGAAAGCCCCGGCUAACUACGUGCCAGCAGCCGCGGUAAUACGUAGGGGGCAAGCGUUGUCCGGAAUUAUUGGGSGUAAAGCGCGCGCAGGCGGUCAUUUAAGUCUGGUGUUUAAACCUUGGGCUCAACCUGAGGUCGCACUGGAAACUGGGUGACUUGAGUACAGAAGAGGAAAGUGGAAUUCCACGUGUAGCGGUGAAAUGCGUAGAUAUGUGGAGGAACACCAGUGGCGAAGGCGACUUUCUGGGCUGUAACUGACGCUGAGGCGCGAAAGCGUGGGGAGCAAACAGGAUUAGAUACCCUGGUAGUCCACGCCGUAAACGAUGAGUGCUAGGUGUUAGGGGUUUCGAUACCCUUGGUGCCGAAGUUAACACAGUAAGCACUCCGCCUGGGGAGUACGGUCGCAAGACUG
rnacentral:rRNA from 1 species